UGGAAAGAUAAUAUUGGUGAUAAAAUUUUACAAGUCACAGUGAUAAGUUUCCUUGCUUAAUAAUAGCAAGAGGUAGAGAAUCACAGGUAAAUUACCAAAGAGCCGUCAUAAAUGAAGGGAGAGAGGAAGAAACUGAGAGAAAUUUUCUUAUUCUCAACCGCCGUCGCCGCCAACCGGUUCGUCCAUUUCAUUCGAGUUUUCAAAGUUUUCUCCGCCGUUAAUGGGACUGACUGUUGUAUUGCGAAAAGAAAAGGUGACGGAGGGAGCGAUGGAAGGAAGGAAGAGGAGAAUGGCAUGGCACCGUGCAUUCUUCGUAGACUGGGUACACAGAGACACGCGAUGUUUCGAGGACUCCAUCGAGAAAUAUCGAUCCUGCUAUGUCCAUUGACCUGGGCUAAGUGUUUCGUCGAGG